GUGUGCUCCUGAGUCGUUGGCACAGUUCAGUGUGGAGAUGAGACCACUUGCAAGAGGCAGUUCCCUCCUCCGUCCCUCCUGUGGCUCUCAGGGACCAGACCCUGAUCGUUAUGCUUGGCAGCCAGCGCCUCUACAGGGAGCAAGCUUCCGGUUGUCGGCUCAUUUGUUUGGUGCAGAGGUGACAGGGCUUUCCAGAAAAGGAACAGACUGGGAGUAGAGCCUGGGUCGCAGACCUGCCAGCCCUGUGACUCGUGGGGCCUCUAGGGAUGGAAGCCUAGGUGCUGUGUGCACAAGGUCCUUUCUUUGUUGACCCUGUUGGCUUCCCGACCCUCUCUGCCACAUUUGGAGACUCCUGCCUUCCCUGCUGGAAUCCUGAGGGCGAGCCACUCCCCUCUUUCUUUCCUUCUGCCAUCCGGAGCGUAGGAUGUGGCUAUCCUCCGAAGUCCACGCUCUAUCGCACAAGGUCUGUCAGGAUGUUGUCUGGAAGCCAGACAAUGCAUCCCUGAAGAAACUGUGGCUGGCUGUGAACACAGACCCUCGGCUGGUGACCUGGUAAAGUUUGUGCUGCCAGGACUGAACUUGAGUUCAACCCCUGGGACUCACAUGGUGGAAG
rnacentral:lncRNA from 1 species